AGUGAACGCUGGCGGUAGGCCUAACACAUGCAAGUCGAACGGCAGCACAGUAAGAGCUUGCUCUUACGGGUGGCGAGUGGCGGACGGUUGAGGAAUACAUCGGAAUCUACUUUUUCGUGGGGGAUAACGUAGGGAAACUUACGCUAAUACCGCAUACGACCUACGGGUGAAAGCAGGGGAUCUUCGGACCUUGCGCGAUUGAAUGAGCCGAUGUCGGAUUAGCUAGUUGGCGGGGUAAAGGCCCACCAAGGCGACGCUCCGUAGCUGGUCUGAGAGGAUGAUCAGCCACACUGGAACUGGGACACGGUCCAGACUCCUACGGGAGGCAGCAGUGGGGAAUAUUGGACAAUGGGCGCAAGCCUGAUCCAGCCAUACCGCGUGGGUGAAGAAGGCCUUCGGGUUGUAAAGCCCUUUUGUUGGGAAAGAAAAGCAGCAGGUUAAUACCCCGCUGUUCUGACGGUACCCAAAGAAUAAGCACCGGCUAACUUCGUG
rnacentral:rRNA from 1 species